rnacentral:rRNA from 1 species
GCCAAAUAUCUAGCUUUCUUCCAAUCAUUCUAAUUUUCUAUACUCAAUAUGCAAUAAAACAUUUUGUUAUUUUAGUAAAGGCGAUUAAAAAAAUUCUUAAAGCUUUAAAUUUAGUACCGUAAGGGAACGAUGAAAUAUUAGUGAAAUAACAUAAAGCACAAGAUAGUAGAAGUUAAAACUCGUACCUUUUGCAUCAUGGUCUAGCCAGUCCUAAUCAAGCAAAAAGAGGUUUUAGUUUGAUUCCCCGAAACUAGGUGAGCUACUUCAAAAUCGCCUUUAGGGCUAACCCGUCUCUGUAGCAAAAGAGUGGGAAAAUUUUCAAGUAGAAGUGACAGACCUAACGAACCUAGAGAUAGCUGGUUAUUCAAGAAAAGAAUUUUAGUUCACCCUUAAGUCUCUUCAUGAUUAUCAACAUCCCCGCAGGCUUAAGAGUUAUUCAAAUAAGGCACAGCUUAUUUGAAACAGGAUACAACCUAGACACUAGGGUAAACCACUAAGAUCUAACUAAGUUGGCCUAAAAGCAGCCACCUUUAAAAAAGCGUUAAAGCUUUAUUUUUUCCUCCUAAAAAUUUAUUUAAUAAUUAUGAACCCAUCAUUACUAUUGAAUAAUUUCAUAAAUUAUGAAAGUUACCAUGCUAGAACUAGUAACAAGAAAAUGCAUUUCUCCAAAUUGUAAGCUUGAACCAAAAUGGACUCCCCACUGGUACUCAACGAUAAUGACCCCAAUAUUUUAACCACUCAAGAAAACUGAAUAACUUAUAUCGUCAACCUUACACUAGAACACUUCUGGAAAGAUUAAAAGGAAGAGAAGGAACUCGGCAAUAUUUAGUCCCGCCUGUUUACCAAAAACAUCGCCUCUUGCACACUAUAAGAGGUCCCGCCUGCCCAGUGAUUAAUUUAACGGCCGCGUGAUUUUAAGCGCGCAAAGGUAGCAAAAUCAUUUGUUCUUUAAAUGAGGACCAGUAUCAAUGGCACCACGAGGACUUCACUGUCUCCUUUUCCCAAUCAGUGAAACUAAUCUCCCUGUGAAAAAGCAGGGAUAAAGCUAUAAGACGAGAAGACCCCAUGGAGCUUUAAACUUUUUCAGCAACUUCCAGUAAAUUUUUACCUAUUAAUACUUAAGUUGUGCUUAAUAGUUUUAGGUUGGGGCGACCGCGGAGUAAAAUUUAACCUCCACGACAAAAGGAGAUUUCCUAAUCUAAGAAAGACAUUUCUAAGAAUCACUAACCUGAUGUUUCAUGACCCGACUAUCGAUCAACGAACCAAGUUACCCUGGGGAUAACAGCGCAAUCCAUUUAGAAAGCUCCUAUCGACAAAUGGGUUUACGACCUCGAUGUUGGAUCAGGAUUCCCAAGUGGUGCAGCCGCUACUAAAGGUUUGUUUGUUCAACAAUUAAAAUC